rnacentral:rRNA from 1 species
CUCGUAGGCGGCCAACUAAGUCGGACGUGAAAUCCCUCGGCUUAACCGGGGAACUGCGUCUGAUACUGGAUGGCUUGAGUUUGGGAGAGGGAUGCGGAAUUCCAGGUGUAGCGGUGAAAUGCGUAGAUAUCUGGAGGAACACCGGUGGCGAAGGCGGCAUCCUGGACCAACACUGACGCUGAGGAGCGAAAGCCAGGGGAGCAAACG